CGGGGCUUAAUGUCUUGUAAUUGGAAUGAUGGGAAUUUAAACCUCUUCCAGAGUAUCAAUUGGAGGGCAAGUCUGGUGCCAGCAGCCGCGGUAAUUCCAGCUCCAAUAGCGUAUAUUAAAAUUGUUGCAGUUAAAAAGCUCGUAGUUGAAUUUCUGCUACAUUACCCUUUCUCCUUUACGAGUUUGGGUCUUUUGUGGCUUAUCUGGGUUCGCUUGCGUUCCCGGUGUUUUACUUUGAGAAAAUUAGAGUGCUCAAAGCAGGCUUUUGCCUUGAAUAGUUUAGCAUGGAAUAAUAAAGUAGGACUUUGGUUCUAUUUUGUUGGUUUUAGGUACCAAAGUAAUGGUUAAUAGGAACAGUUGGGGGCAUUCGUAUUUAACUGUCAGAGGUGAAAUUCUUAGAUUUGUUAAAGACGAACUACUGCGAAAGCAUUUGCCAAGGAUGUUUUCAUUAAUCAAGAAC
rnacentral:rRNA from 2 species